CCGGAAGCUGACAGCGGAGCCCUGCGCAGCUGUGGGAACCCCAUGGAUAGGUGCCUGUCGAUGGCUGGGCCACGAGAUAACGCCCGGUUCCUGUCACCUUUGGUCUUCUGCUGUGGUUUAUGACACACUGCCUAAUCUGAAAUGACAAAGAAAUUUGACCUGACCCAGGGAGAAGGCAAGGCACCUAAGUGCGGCAGAGGGCAACAAGAAAGUGUUGAAUCCCUGGACUGGAGCUAUGGACAGUUGUGAUCAGUCCAAACGUGGAUGCUAAGGACUCAAACUCUGUCCCACUUGGAAGAGCAGUUUCCAGUAAGCUAGUACCGAAAAUCUCUACAAUAGAGAAUACAUGUAUCUGGAGCCAGGAAGCUGCUGGGAAAGUCCCCACAAACACUCCCCAGCCCAGCUCACAGGGCUGUACUGGACAUAAACAGAUGAUCAAUAACUAGACAUGGUCAGUGAGAAGCAUUGGAAAAUGCACAGUGUUUUCCAGCUGGUGAACUGCAGGCGCCUUGGUGCUCCAGACUGUGCCCUUCAUUUGCAGGCCUCUCUCAAAGUGUUGACCGACACAUUAAGAGCAGAUCCGUUUGGUUAGAAAGAGCCACGUCUUGGAUUGGUUUAGCUGGUUAGUGUUUUGUGGAAUUGGAGAUGAGACUCCGGCUCUCGCACAUGCAAAGCACGUGCAUUGCUACUGAGCUGCCCCCUGGCACAAGAAGCAUGAAUUGACUGUCAAGUGGACUAGACACAUGAAUGGCCUCUUCAGGAAGGUCAUGGCCUCUCCCUUGAGAACUUCAAGGACCCAAAGAACAAGCAUUUGUCCAGGAUGGUGUGAUUGUCCAUCUGCCUGGAUUCAGGGACUGUGUGCGUGUGUACCACUGGAACAGUGAGACACCAUGAGGCCUCUGAUGGAAAACAACCACAUGACACACAGGGAGCUAUCAAGUCCUAUCACCAGUGGACGGGACCUUUUAAAACAGAAAAGAAGGCGAGAGCCACUGUGGACCACCUCCUCUAUCUCUCAGGAUUUUACUUCAUCCUGAUUCUUCCAGCAUCUUCUGUCAUAGCCUACUGGUGGUCAAGCCAAUGCUGUCAUCUUUUAAAUUGUUAUAAAGUCUUUACAUUGAGAAAAGGGGCCCCCAUCUGAGAAAAACAAGUGAAAGGUGAAGGGAGGAGAGGACCAAAAGGGAGUCCCAUCAUAGGAGACUGUUUGGAAGGAGUCUGGUGGAAGAUCCGCCUCAACUCCCCUCCCCUAUCUCUUUCCCUAAAACCCUUUUAAAGUCCUCCAAACACAGCUCUGCCCCCAGAGAGGCUCAAGACCACUCCCACAGGGUAUAAAAGCUGCAUCCCAGAGAACAGACACGUGGUUCUUCCUGCCAAGAAGCCCCAUCUCCUCUCUGAGGGGCCGGGAAAUCACCGGGGAACGCUUUACCCAUUAAACCUGGGCUUUUCCUGAUUCGGUCUGAUUUCCUGCGUCAGCAGAGAGGCCUUCAGGGUGCAAAAGACUUAUCAGAGGCGUCUUAGUUAGGGUUCCUAUUGCUGUGAUAAAAACCGGUGACUUGGGGAGGAAAGAGCUUUCCUCCUACACUGUCACAUCACAGCCCAUCGUCAAGUGAAGUCAGAGCAGCAACCCAAGCAAGGCAUCUGGAGGCGGGCACUGAAGCUGAGGCCGGGGACUGCCCUGCUCCUCAGGACUUGCUGAGUCUACUUUCCUACACAACCCAGGACCACCUGCCCAGGACCAUUACCCACCUGUCGGCUGGACUCUCCCCCAUCAGUCAUUCAGUGACUCGCCUACAGGCAAGUCACUGAUGGAGGCGUUUUCUCAACUGAAGUUCUUCUUCCCAAAUAACUAGAACUUGUGUCAAGUAAACAUCCUACUCAUUUGUUUUGUGACUAUGACAAUGGGUUUUGGGUGUGAUAGUUUCUGACCUGGCAGGAAAACUUGAGAUUUCUGCAUUUACAUAUUUUAAAUUGUUUUGAUAGGGUUUUAUUUUUUUCAUAAGUUAUUUCUAACUCUUCAUCAUUUGGAUUACCUGGGCUCACAUGAAGUCAGUCAGAGCCACACUGUACUGAAUUACCAUGGCAGUUUAGUUGUGGCUGGCAGUUUUCUACUGUUCUUGGGGCUGCGACGGCUUUUUUUCCCGUUUGCUGCCAAAAUCUGUGUCAUUAGAGCUGAUGUGGCUAGAACAGCAGGAGUGAAUUGUUCGUUUACUAAUUUUCAUCCUCAUUUAAAAAUGUCUCUUGUCAGGCUGGAGCGGUGGCUCAGCAGUUCAGAAUACUUGCUGCUCUUGCAAAGGACCCAGGUUCAGUUCCCAGUGUCCACAUCAGGCAGCCCACAACUGCCUGUAACUUGAAAUCCAGGGGUUAUGACACCCUCGUUUGGCCUCCACAGACACUUGCAUGUACAUGGUACAUAUUCAUACACCCAGGUAUUUAUAGGACAUAUAAAAUAAAAACAAACCUUUUUUAAAGUUUAAUGUUAAAAAUACUUCAAAUAAGCACGAUUGAUUAAAACAAUUAAGGAGAUCCUCAUUGUCUCUAUCCAUACUUGAAGCCUGGAUCUGUGAGUAUAAUGGUAGAGACUUCACCAAAGGCCUCCACACAGCUCCCCAGCAAAGGCUUCGGGGCAGGAUAGAGAUGGGACCAGCCCUUCUGCCACAUCCAGGCAUCCACUGGAAAUCAACAUCUGGCACAUCCUAAAAAACACAAACUGAGGUUCCUGCUCACAUCUGGUGUCUGUGCUUCACUUUGAGCUCAGGAGCUCACACUGGUUCUCAGAUUCUCAACUGUGACAGUGUAGUGCCCUCUAGAUGCAAGGACUCCAAACCAACAUGCCUGAAGGGCUGCUCCCAAGGCUCACCUGAGGAGCCUUAGAGACCACCCUCCAGGCUCCAGGGAAAGGCUGUGUGCCUGCACACUGACACCAGCCAGAUGCAUCUGAAUCUGCAGUUCAGUGAGGCAUUCUAGAAGGCAGUGGGAUGUGGAGCAAGCCUGUAAAGGGAGUCUUGGUUUCUAUGUGCUAAAUCUAAUGCCAGGGCUCAGCUCACAGCCCAUUUGUUGAUAAACACUUGAAUAUCAGAAUAUUCCAAGUCCUUUUGAACAAAGCACAGAUGGUGGAUCUUCCCAUCCUGACCCCUUCUGGUUCAUCAGAGGUAAAACGAGAUCAAUCCUAGGAUGUUUGGGUUUUGAAGUUCUUCUGGGAAUUCCACAGGGUCCUCCAGCUGGAAGUGCACCCAGGAGCUGGAAAUGUUGCUUCCACCCUGUUGCAAUGAACAAAAUUUCAUCUGCGUUCUCAACAUUUCCACACUGCAAAAUGCAAAGAACUAUUUGGAGAGCCUUGCAUCUUUCAUAACUCUUGUCAAGUGAGGAACGUGUCUCUCACACCCUGCAGAAACAAGGCUCCUGCCUUCAGAUCCCGCUGCUAAGUGUCCAGAGCCUCUCUCUGAAGGAAAAUCUGUGGACACCACUUCCUCAUAAGACAAGUGAAAAAAUCAGGAGCUCUGUUCCCAUAGUCUCUCCAGGAACCCCGUCAGCGAUGGUGGGUGACAGCCUUUUCUGUCACUCCUGCAAAGUUUAUUCAGCUCUCCCCUUCCUUCUGAGCUAGACCACUGCAUCAUUCCUCUGAUGGCCUUGCUUGUGUGAAUGCCCUUAGCAUUUCUUCCACAUCUUGCUAAUUUGGCACUCCUGCAGAGUCUGGAAGUGAGCAAAGCCUUUCUCAGUGGUAUGGGAAGCCCUAAAGAAUAUUUGUUCUGUUCUUUAUUCCUGAAACUCCCUCCUCUCAUCUCUCUUCUCAGAGAAGACUCUCAGUAGCCAUGAACUGGCUCACAGGAACUUCCCAGACCUUUACCAUUCUUAACCGGAAAAGGAAACGUGGGAUUUCCAAACAGCAAAUGUUUCUGAGAAAUUGGCAUUUCUGUUCUGAAAGAGAACUAUUCCUUCAGUUAGCUAAGGCGGUCUACUAUAUGUAUGAACUAUUUUUGUGGCUACUACUAUUAUUUUUAUUGAAGUUUUCUUUUUAAGUUUUUCUUUAUUUUUAAUGAUCUGAUGCACGUAUGUAUUGAGUUAUGAUCAUAUCUACCCCAUCAUCCCCCUCAAGCUCCCCUUAUCUCUCUCAACACCUCUCAAGUUAAUAUCCUAUCUCUUCCCUUGAUAACUCAUCAAGUGCAGUUAGUGUUGCCCUUAUGUGUGUGGAUGGAUGUAGGACCAUCCACUGGACAUGGGAAACCUACCAGUGACCACACCUGGAAAAAACAAAACAAAAAAAAAAAAAACCUGUCUUUCCCCCAGCAACAGUUUCCUGCCAACAGCUCCUCAGUAAGAGGUGAGGCCUGGAAAUCUAUCCCUUCUCUGCUGGGGUUUGGCUGGUUUGACCUUGGACAGGCAACCACAGUUGCUAUGAGCUUGUGAGAGCCAUAGCUGUGUCUGGUCUAGAAGACAGCAUUUCACAGUACUCCUCCCCGUCCUCCAGCUCUUGAAUUCUCCCCACCUUCUCUUCUGUGAAGUUCUCUGUGCCUUCGUGGGUGUGGGUGUUCAUGUAGAUGUCCAGUGUAGGGCUGAGCACCCAGUCUCUUGUUCUCAGCACGUCAAACAAUUGAGAGUCUCUGCACCAGCUGCUGCCCACUGCAGAGUGAAGCUUCUCUAACCAACUCCGAGAACAACCCAAGUCUGAUAGCGCCAGGAGCUGGAGGCAUUUAUUAGGCUUUUGAGACAGGAUCUCGUGUAGCCCAGGCUGGCCUCCAACUUCUACAUCGCUGAUAAUGACCUUCAACUCCUGGUCCUCCUGCCUGUAUUUCCAAAACACUGGGAACACGGGUGUGUGCACCACUCUCCCUUGUGAUCAUUAUUAAAUAAGACUCAGACAUAAAUGUUAGGCAACUUCUACCAACCUUGGAGCGACAAGCACAUAUUCCCUAAAGAUGUGUCCUGGGAGGAAGCUUGGUUUACUAGAGAAAAAGUGAUCUCUUCAAACCUGUUCUUUCUCACCAAGGGUGGGUUCCAUAACUCUGGCUCUAUGGGCUGUGGGAGUUUAUGCAUCGUCCAAAGGGCUUAGGAGACCCAGAGUCCAGUCUGCUCAUCACUGCUCUUUUUGUGCAUUGGCCAUUUGUAUUUGGUCACGUUACUUAGACCCUUCCCAUACAUGGUUUCCUUAUGUAUAUAAAGUUAAUGGCUGCCUCCUUGCAGGGUUACUAGAUGAGCCAGUACAACGAAAAGCAAGCAGGAGAUUAAGUGGGCUGGUGGUCUCUCAGUGAGCAUAAGUUGUGGCUACGGUUCUUCCUGGAGAAGCAUCUGGGGCAUUGGUAAACCUUGUUCUAGCUCUACCAGGUAUUGCUUUGUGACUUCGGAAAGACACAUUCCAGCUCUUGGUUUCUUCAUGUAUAACAUUAAAAUACUGAAGCUGGGAAGAUAGUGCCAUUGGCAAAACACUUGCCACAAAAGCAUGAGGACCUUCAUUUGAUGACUAGGACCUACUUAUAGGCUUGUAAUCUCACUGCUGGGGGAGGAGAAGCAGGAGGGUCCGGGGGCCUUGCUGGCCAACCAGCUUAGUGUAGUUGGCAAAUACUAGGUCCCCAUCAGAGACCCUGUCUCAAAACAAUCAGGUAGCCAGCUCCUAAGAAAUACCUCUGAGGGUGCUGCUGCACACACACACACACACACACACACACACACACACACACAGCAACACACCCACGGCAACACACCCACUUACACAUUUUCAAAAAAAAAUUGAGGGCCAGCUAUGGUGAAC